ensembl:lncRNA
CCCAGCGCAGCUGACUGAGGGGCGGCGGCGUCCCGUGCGCCGUCCCGGCACCUGCGUAGCGCUUCCAACGUGGAGUUUCGAGCUUGCCGUCCCGCAGUGUCACACAGUCACCCACGUGGGGCUCGUCCCGAGAAGGAACGUCUCCUGAGGUUGCACGCAGCACCCCGCACAGCCUUCCGCUGGCUGCCUAGGCGGGAGGUGGCACGUCCUCACAGGCACUGCCUUCCCUGCCCCUCACAGAACAUCACCGUAGCAGAGGGCACACAGAGGAUAUGAGCCCAGCCUGGUGCUGACUGCACCGUGCCCCGCUCCUCAGCCAUCAUCGCCAUCUUGGCCACCUCAGCACGUCACAGGGAUCAAAGCAAACCUCUCUGAACGGUUCUGCUCUCACCACUAGUUACACAGUUUCCAUUCAGGAGGAAGCUACAAGGCACAGGCUAGUUCUUGCUGGCAGCACAGCCAGCACCGUUCUGAGCCGGGAUCUCUCUUUGGAGGCCACUGCAGCAGGAGCCGGGGCAGGCUGGGGAUGUGUGGUAGCAGCCGUUGGCACAGGGUUACCUCAGCGUCCUGUCAGGGCACUGAGCGCCACAGAGCAGAUGGGAUCCCAGUCUUCCCGCCAUUUCUAUGACUGUAAAACUUUCCCAAAGUGCAAAAUUUCAUGCUUUUUGGAGAAGAAUCAAAGCUACCAGGCUUUCUUGAUGAAAAUAUUAAUUGCUAGUGCCAGGCAAGGACCUGGGCUCCAGAAGCUCCCCCAGCCGUGGCCUCAGCACCUGGUGAAAUGGCGAUGCUCAUCCUCUUUGCUCUCCUCCGCCUCCAGACGUCCCAGCCAGGUCAUUUCAUCCCAAGCCUACUUUGCUUGAGAGGUGAUAAAGAGGGAGAAAAAUACUGCAGUAUGCUCUCUGAAGAGGCCGCUUAGAAGGCAAUAAAGAAUCAUGGGGUAAGUAGAGCUAUCCAGGGACUGGCUUUAGUUGGAUAGAUUUAACUCCAUGAAGUUGUGUAGAGGUACCAUGAAUAUGUAAACAGAACACGAGCAUGAGGUGUUGUUCAUACUGGUGCUGGGCACUUCUCUCUACUGCCCAUAUUCCUCCGUGUAAAACAGGAAAAGCAUAAAAGCCAACAUGAGUAAGAUCAAACUCUCUGCUUAUUCAGACAUAAAAUAUUCCCCGAGUCCCCAGAGUUACAUGAGCUAGACCUAGGAGACUGCUUUCUUUCUCAGAAAUGAUGUUGCCAAGUUCUGGACAGAAUUUACAGAACAAAUCUCUUGGUAUUGUAACUCAUUGCAAAGGAGACCUAAGUUUAUCAGCUGAAUUAUAGAUGAUGGAGCCUUAUACCAAUUCUUUACAUGUCCUUUUUGGCGUUUUUUUGUGCGUGUGUUCCUUCUCUGUUCUCAUUAAGGUGCCUAAUGAAAGACUUAAAUCCAUUUUCACCCUCUUUAGAGGCACCAACAAUAAAGCAAAUGAAAUAUUAUUCUUUCUGAGCAGUAAAUUUACAGCAAGCAAUAACAAAUCCAUGAGAAUUUGUGUGGCCUUUUGCCAAAGAAACCAAGGGUUUGAAUCUGUAUAUUGAAAAAUAUAUGCAUAUCUAUUCUGGUGUUUAAGGAGCUGUGAGAAAUGCAUUUUUUUAAGGGAAAAGAGAGAAAAGUACCAAAAUCACCUACAACCCUCC